UCUAGGGUUACAAUCAUCAUAUAGUCCAUAGGUUUCAUAUACACUAUGACUCACAUAUGUCACUCGUUCUUUUGUUUACUAUCAACUAGAUGCCACUCGUUCUUUACAAGUUUUCAAUGCAAUAGCCAAUACAUUACCAAAUUCCCAUCCACACUUACCAUCUCAUUAUAGGGUUCCACAUCACAUAUAUAAACCUCAAGCAUGCUAGAUAUAAAUACUAAGCCAAAUACAUUAUUCUACCAAAGAACAUGCAAGGUAUAGGACCAAACCAUCAUUUAUCACCCUAUAAUGCAAGAUGUCAAUAUGCAAUUGGAUCAAUAUAAGCUUAGACAUAAAAGGGAGCCCGAUUGCUUCGGGAUGGACACCACCCACCUUUUAUAGCGUUCCGAUUGCUCGUUGUCACUCGCAAUCGGCCUCCUGCGGCGUACGCCGCAUGGCUCGACCCAACUCACGCGCGACUGCCAAAUGACCUCCUAUCCGCGAUCCGUCUGUUCUGGAGUUUAUUCCCUGACACCACGAUGCUACGAUUCCAUUUCUAUGAUUUUUGGAAGCUUUCGCCGCGAGCUGCGGCAAUCUGUACCAAAAUCGGCCUCUUCUUCGAUAUCUUUGUAACGGCUCGACGGAUUGCCAAACCGUCGCUUCCAACGCGUUCAGCGACCUAUCAAUUA
rnacentral:lncRNA from 1 species